UGGGGAAUAUUGCACAAUGGGCGCAAGCCUGAUGCAGCAACGCCGCGUGAGGGACGACGGCCUUCGGGUUGUAAACCUCUUUUAGUAGGGAAGAAGCGAAAGUGACGGUACCUGCAGAAAAAGCACCGGCUAACUACGUGCCAGCAGCCGCGGUAAUACGUAGGGUGCGAGCGUUGUCCGGAAUUAUUGGGCGUAAAGAGCUCGUAGGCGGUCUGUCGCGUCUGCUGUGAAAACCCGAGGCUCAACCUCGGGCCUGCAGUGGGUACGGGCAGACUAGAGUGCGGUAGGGGAGAAUGGAAUUCCUGGUGUAGCGGUGGAAUGCGCAGAUAUCAGGAGGAACACCGAUGGCGAAGGCAGUUCUCUGGGCCGUAACUGACGCUGAGGAGCGAAAGCGUGGGGAGCGAACAGGAUUAGAUACCCUGGUAGUCUACGCCGUAAACGUUGGGCGCUAGAUGUGGGGACCAUUCCACGGUUUCCGUGUCGCAGCUAACGCAUUAAGCGCCCCGCCU
rnacentral:rRNA from 1 species